AGAACGAACGCUGGCGGCAUGCCUAAUACAUGCAAGUCGAACGAACACUUCGGUGUUAGUGGCGCACGGGUGCGUUACGCGUGGGAAUCUGCCCUUGGGUUCGGAAUAACAGUUGGAAACGACUGCUAAUACCGGAUGAUGACGAAAGUCCAAAGAUUUAUCGCCCAGGGAUGAGCCCGCGUAGGAUUAGCUAGUUGGUGAGGUAAAGGCUCACCAAGGCUACGAUCCUUAGCUGGUCUGAGAGGAUGACCAGCCACAUUGGGACUGAGACACGGCCCAAACUCCUACGGGAGGCAGCAGUGGGGAAUCGUUGCGCGAAGUCGGGACGAAAGCCUGACGCAGCCAUGCCGCGUGUAUGAUGAAGGUCUUAGGAUUAGUAAAAUUACUUUCAACCGGUGAA
rnacentral:rRNA from 1 species